UGCAAUAUCUGUAUUAUAAUCAGCCUUUUUAGUAUCUAUUUUUUUCUUCAGAAAGAAAAUCAAAUCCACUGUGACACUGAAGUCCUAUGACAGUGGAAUUCUACUGGAAAAUAAAAUGCGAGGAGGCAGCAUUGCAGUGGGAUGCAAAGACGUAAUUGCAGAGUCCAGGGAAGUAAAAGAUGUCCCCAUCAAAAGUCUUGAAGUGGAAAUUGCCCCACGUACUGCAUACGCGGCCAUUGUGAGCAGGGUUGAAGGCUGUGGAUUGAAAACUCUUUAUGCUGGAUCCAAAUUCAGAGAUGAGUUACUGUGAAAAUCUGGACCCUACAUUUUUACUUUGGCAGUCUGCUGAACUAGAAUCACAUCCAUACACUGCUGAGUCAUCCCAUUGUCAGUUAUGGGUCUGAAUCUGCUCUCACGUGCUCCAGUCUGAAUCGGAAGUAAUUCCACUGAACUCAAGCAACCUAACACCAGUUUAAGGGAAAGGAGAAUCAGGGUGAUCAUGUUUGCGGGAUUCAAUCUCAAAUGUGUUACUCCAAUUUUGCUCCAGCUUAACUCCAUUCACAUCAUUGGAAUUACAACAGCUAAAAGUGGUGUUACAGAGUGUUGACUGUGGCCCUGUAUGUGUAUGUUCUGUGUUAAUAGAAAUCUGUCAAGACCUGUUAAUGUACUGAUCACAGAUAUGGACCUGCAAAUCCUUUCCACAAUUGUUACCUCCGAUAUUAAUAAUUUAUCAUUUUAAAAAUGUGAAUUAAUUUAUAUUUAAAGAG
rnacentral:lncRNA from 1 species